CGGCGAGUGGCGAACGGGUGAGUAAUACAUCGGAACGUGUCCUGUAGUGGGGGAUAGCCCGGCGAAAGCCGGAUUAAUACCGCAUACGAUCUACGGAUGAAAGCGGGGGAUCGCAAGACCUCGCGCUAUAGGGGCGGCCGAUGGCGGAUUAGCUAGUUGGUGGGGUAAAGGCCCACCAAGGCGACGAUCCGUAGCUGGUCUGAGAGGACGACCAGCCACACUGGGACUGAGACACGGCCCAGACUCCUACGGGAGGCAGCAGUGGGGAAUUUUGGACAAUGGGCGCAAGCCUGAUCCAGCAAUGCCGCGUGUGUGAAGAAGGCCUUCGGGUUGUAAAGCACUUUUGUCCGGAAAGAAAUCCUCUGGGUUAAUACCCCGGGGGGAUGACGGUACCGGAAGAAUAAGCACCGGCUAACUACGUGCCAGCAGCCGCGGUAAUACGUAGGGUGCGAGCGUUAAUCGGAAUUACUGGGCGUAAAGCGUGCGCAGGCGGUGAUGUAAGACCGAUGUGAAAUCCCCGGGCUUAACCUGGGAACUGCAUUGGUGACUGCAUCGCUGGAGUAUGGCAGAGGGGGGUAGAAUUCCCGUGUAGCAGUGAAAUGCGUAGAGAUGUGGAGGAAUACCGAUGGCGAAGGCAGCCCCCUGGGCCCAUACUGACGCUCAUGCACGAAAGCGUGGGGAGCAAACAGGAUU
rnacentral:rRNA from 1 species